rnacentral:rRNA from 1 species
UACGGAGGAUCCAAGCGUUAUCCGGAUUUAUUGGGUUUAAAGGGUGCGUAGGCGGCCUGUUAAGUCAGGGGUGAAAGACGGUAGCUUAACUAUCGCAGUGCCUUUGAUACUGAUGGGCUUGAAUGAACUAGAGGUAGGCGGAAUGUGACAAGUAGCGGUGAAAUGCAUAGAUAUGUCACAGAACACCAAUUGCGAAGGCAGCUUACUAUGGUUUUAUUGACGCUGAGGCACGAAAGCGUGGGGAUCAAACAGG